CUUUUUUUUUCUUCUCCUCGCCCCCCCCCCCUCCGUCCUGCCUCCAGGAUUCGAGCACCAACCGGGACGAGGCUCUUUAGAACGAGGCGGACCGCGCGCGGCUCGUGAGCAACUCCCACUUUGUCCGUGGCGUGGAACAGCGCCAGAACAGGAGCUUCUCGGCUGCAGUUGUUGUUGCCAUGAUAAUGACGUCACGAGCCAGCCACCUUGGAGGGUUAAAGCAGAGGAGGGGGGAAGGGUGACAGUUGGUGAGCGAGAAAGGUUGGAUUCUCUUCUUCGCGUAGCAGCUUCGGCUCCAAAGCGAAUUUAAUAACUCGCGCGCACGUUUGGCUUAGAGAAUCGUGCUAUCGAUAGUUCGGCUUUGGAACUCCAAGGGCUGGGAAAAGUUAUACGGAGAGCGCAGUCGCGGUCAGGGACUGGACUGGUAACUUAAGGGAUCAUAUUUAGCCGCCAUUUCAGAAGUCGAGCCCUUUAGCUCAAAGGGAAGGGGGACACGUGGUAAAGGGGGCCGCAUGUCAAGCCCCUAAAGGCUUGCCAUACGAACGGGGACGGGGGAGCACGGAUAACGACCUACCAACCCGGGACACAGCUGAGCAUUGCCCCGCCACGCCCCAUGACUGCACCAGCCGAACGUCAACUGAGCAGACAUCUCCGCGGGCUGCGCCACAGACGCCAGCGAAGCCUAAGGGAGGCCAGUCACCGACGGGGUCGGAGGACCAUGAAUGCCAGCUGCGCUUUACGGAAGGGAGGGCGAUGGACGGGCCAUCUGGGGCCGAAAGGACUGCACUCCGGCGGCCGGACCCAGCAAAGGGGGGUGGGGGGUUAUCCUUUCGCAACCGGGACAGUAGGCAGGGUAAGUUUGGCGGCGGGCAACUGACGCGCAGUUCGGGCGCACGGACAACGGGGGGUGGGGGCGGAGUUCCGUCGGGGAAAGGGAAAGCACAGGGAAAGGGUGGAGCAUUUAUUCAUUUGAAGCGGAUGGUGGUUUGGAACCGGGGGCGGACCCAAAGGGUGGAGCACGCCAAUAUAUGGCGGUGGGAGGUAACUAACACCAGUGCUGACUUUAUCUCACCUGCAUAAUAAAGUGCUUGUUGGGUGUCA